rnacentral:rRNA from 1 species
UAAUACGUAGGUGGCGAGCGUUGUCCGGAAUUAUUGGGCGUAAAGCGCGCGCAGGUGGGAUCUUAAGUCUGUUCUGAAAGUUCGGAGCUUAACUCCGUGAUGGGAUGGAAACUGGGAUUCUUGAGUAUCGGAGAGGAAAGCGGAAUUCCCCGUGUAGCGGUGAAAUGCGUAGAUAUGGGGAGGAACACCAGUGGCGAAGGCGGCUUUCUGGACGAUGUCUGACACUGAGGCGCGAAAGCCAGGGGAGCGAACGGG